GAUGAACGCUGGCGGCGUGCCUAAUACAUGCAAGUCGAGCGAACAGACGAGGAGCUUGCUCCUCUGACGUUAGCGGCGGACGGGUGAGUAACACGUGGAUAACCUACCUAUAAGACUGGGAUAACUUCGGGAAACCGGAGCUAAUACCGGAUAACAUGUUGAACCGCAUGGUUCAACAGUGAAAGACGGUCUUGCUGUCACUUAUAGAUGGAUCCGCGCCGCAUUAGCUAGAUGGUAAGGUAACGGCUUACCAAGGCAACGAUGCGUAGCCGACCUGAGAGGGUGAUCGGCCACACUGGAACUGAGACACGGUCCAGACUCCUACGGGAGGCAGCAGUAGGGAAUCUUCCGCAAUGGGCGAAAGCCUGACGGAGCAACGCCGCGUGAGUGAAGAAGGUCUUCGGAUCGUAAAACUCUGUUAUUAGGGAAGAACAAAUGUGUAAGUAACUAUGCACGUCUUGACGGUACCUAAUCAGAAAGCCACGGCUAACUACGUG
rnacentral:rRNA from 1 species